rnacentral:rRNA from 1 species
UGCCAGCCGCCGCGGUAAUACGUAGGAAACUAGCGUUGUCCGGAAUUACUGGGUGUAAAGCGCGUGUAGGCGGCAUACCAAGUCUGUUGUGAAAUCGCCCGGCUCAACUGGGCGGGGUCAAUGGAAACUGGUAGGCUGGAGGACGGUAGAGGCGAGUGGAAUUCCCGGUGUAGUGGUGAAAUGCGUAGAUAUCGGGAGGAACACCUGUGGCGAAGGCGGCUCGCUGGGCCGGUCCUGACGCUGAGACGCGAAGGCGUGGGGAGCGAACGGGAUUAGAUA